rnacentral:misc_RNA from 1 species
CCGUUAUGCUAUCGCUGAAGGGAAAAGAUUUCAAGAUUCCUUUGAAAUCAUUGCUCUUCUUAAAAAAUCUUAUGAAUCAUACAUCAACCUUAAAGCCCAGAGGAUGGCUUCUCAUUGCGGGUUUCUGAUGGCUCAAGAAUAUUUUGCAGUGAGUGAUUUCAGUAAUGCAAAACAACUACUUGAUGGUGUUGCAGCUCUAUACAGACAAGAGGGAUGGGUCACUUUAUUAUGGGAGGUCUUGGGUUUUCUGCGAGAGUGCUCAAGGAAAUGUGGUAUAUUGAAGGAAUUUAUAGAGUACUCUCUUGAAAUGGCUGCAUUACCUGUAUCAUCUGGUACAGGAGUCCAAUCAUUCAGAGCGAAUGAAUGUGGUCCAGCUGGUCCUGCAAGUCUUGCUCAGAGAGAAAAUAUACACAAGGAGGUUUUUCAGCUUGUCAGCGGAGAAACAGGGGUGGUAUCAGUUGAAGAUAAUAGUGAUCUCAGAGUAAACAGAGAAAAUCCUCUGCAUCUUGAGAUUGAUCUUGUCAGUCCCCUUAGAAUGGUACUUCUUGCUUCAGUUGCAUUUCAUGAACAGAUAAUUAAGCCUGGUGUACCUGCCUUGAUUACACUGUCACUUCUAUCA